CGGAAUAAAAUCAUUGUGGAAAACAAAUAAUCAAGGAAAAUUGUACAAUAAAACCGGUUACUCAUGAAUGAUAGAGGGGUGAAAGAUCCACGAGGGACAGUCAAACUCAAAGAUUGAAAAUAAACUAACAACGCAAUGGCUAAAAAAUAAAAAGACAAACAGAUAAAAAAAGUACAAAAGACACGACAUAGAAAAGUAAAGACUUAGCAACACGAACCCGA
rnacentral:lncRNA from 1 species